UAAGUCCACUUUACAUCAACAAUAAAUUGGACAAGAAAUUGACCAAGUUAUUCAAGGCCAAAUUUGACGUGUAAAAGCACACUUUGACAUGUAAGUUUGUUCGUUAUAAACUUCACGUGAAGAAAUUGACGAAAAAGAAAAUUGUUCUAUUUUUUCAUUUAUUUGGCGUGAAUUCAGUGUCACCAACCUGUGUUCAUUUGGCGGGAAGUGGAAGUAGAGCUGUAGAGCUUUUUGUUUAUUAUUAUUUGUUGAGGUUGAGUCUUUCAUGUUCAUGACAACCUAAAAAUUUUGAUUGGAAAAUGCAUAUAAGAUAAGGGGUGGGAAAAUGGAAAUUAGUGGCUUUUUUGCAGUUCUGUGUUAGUUUUGCUCUGGCUGGGUCUCUUUUGUUUAAACAAUUAUAAUCAGCUGAAAGUGGUCUACAAAAAAACCAGGAAGGAAACGUAUUAUAGCCUUGUUGUGGCUAUGAAAGGCAAAAGAAAGAUACCUAUAAAAAGUGUAUUGACUAGUUGGAAGAAACUCCACAUUGUCGAUGCAUAAUAAGAUAUUACUUUAUAAACAAAUAUCAAGACCUAGGAAUGGAACCUGGAUAAUAUAGUCAUCAAGAAGAUAGCAGGAGGUCAUGAGCAACAACAACUUCAUAAGUAUGAGAAUAUUGAGGAAAUCCAGCUCCUCGAUAUCUACUACUGGACAAACUAGAAGAUUGAAGAGGACAAAGCCUUUUGAACUAGUUUGAGUGAUAGGUGAUAGUGAAAAGCAGAGCGUAGUGCUUGUGUGCCUGUGUAUGUUAGAAUAGUGCACGAUCUUGUUAGAUUAGAUAAGAGACGCUAUAGGGUAAGCUCUUCAUUUUAAGGAACAGUAGUAAUUUAGGUUAAAUUAAAAUUGCUCAUUGGUCAGUUAUGACCAGAUUGUAAUUCUCUGAUGUUUGGCAAAAAGGGCUGAAGUCAGAAUUGCACAUCAAUAAUGUUUUGAUGAUUUCUGGACCAUAAAAAAAGUGUUGCAGACUUAAACUGUAUGUACCAAUAAAAAGAGCCGAUUUUUCUGGUCCAGAAAUCAUCAAAACAUUACCGAUGUGCAAUUCUGACUUAAGCCCUUUUUCCCAAACAUCAGAGAAUUGCAAUGUACAAUUCAAUACAAAUGAAUCAUCAUCGUAGUGAUGAUUAUGGAAAAAAAUAUAUAUAUAUAUAUAGAAAUAUAUAUAUUUUGUGCAAUAAAAAUGUUUAUAUUUA